AAUCAUGGCUCAGGAUGAACGCUGGCGGCGUGCUUAACACAUGCAAGUCGAACGGGAAACCUUUUAAAGAAGCUUCGGCAGAUUUAGCUGGUUUCUAGUGGCGGACGGGUGAGUAACGCGUGGGUAACCUGCCUUGUACAGGGGGAUAACAGUCAGAAAUGACUGCUAAUACCGCAUAAGCGCACAGGACCGCAUGGUCCGGUGUGAAAAACUCCGGUGGUAUAAGAUGGACCCGCGUUGGAUUAGCUGGUUGGUGGGG
rnacentral:rRNA from 1 species